UACGGGGGGAGCAAGCGUUGUUCGGAUUUACUGGGCGUAAAGGGCGCGUAGGCGGUCAGCACAAGUCAGUUGUGAAAUCUCCGGGCUUAACUCGGAAAGGUCAACUGAUACUGUGCGACUAGAGUGCAGAAGGGGCAACUGGAAUUCUCGGUGUAGCGGUGAAAUGCGUAGAUAUCGAGAGGAACACCUGCGGCGAAGGCGGGUUGCUGGGCCGACACUGACGCUGAGGCGCGAAAGCCAGGGGAGCGAACGGG
rnacentral:rRNA from 1 species